GACCAGAAAGAAUGUAAAUGCUAGUAAAGCUGCCUGGGUUCAAAUCCCAGCUCUGCCAUGUGCUCACUGUGUGAAUUUGGGAGAGUUAUCUUCCCACCUUUGAAAAAUGGAGAUGACAAGAAUAGUAUCUACCUUCCACGGGUUCUGGUGGAAACUGAAAAAGUUCAUAUGCAGAAAGUGCCUAAAAAUAGGGUCUGGCACAACCAGGAAAGCUGUCAGUGUUCUCAGGAUUCCACUUUCCAGCUGCCAUCUGUACCUAAGUGGGUUGGCUUCACAGUUUUCGUAGGACUCUGGACAAAGGAACAAUGUCUUCAGCAAAUUCUUCCUGUAUUCGGUGGGAAAGGAGGGCACCGGGCGAGUUGAGUUUCUGGAAGCCUGUGACUUGGUGCCUGACAUCCUCAGCAGCCCCUGUGGCCUCAGAGGAAGGACAGAGUCUGAGAGGAACAAGCCUCCAAAAGACCCGCCUUUAGAAACCCAGGAGUUUCAGGCUGUAGUUUCCUUGCCCAGGCAUCAGGGCCUGGGGAGCUGCCAGGGCCCUUUCAACUCUCCCGCCCUGCUGAGCCCGGAUAGGAUUGUGUAAGAGCCGCCCUCCACACGCCUGCUCUCUCGUGCAGCACGCCUGGGCCUGCCUGUCCUCCCUGGAAGCCGGGCCAGAAGGCCCUGGUACCCACACAGGUCUGGCCACCCAAAGGCUCCUGCCUGGUCGGGAGAGGGAGGGGGACAUCUCUUGAAGUUCAGGGCCUGCUCCCGAACUGAUGCCAAACUGGAGUUCUGGGGAGGCUUGGAGCGAGGUGGUGUGUGCUGUGUACAAGACCCCGGCCACCCCCUGAGCACACAUGCCCUGGUGUCUCCAGGGAUCUUCUGCCGGCCUGUACCACUUCCCAGGCCUUCUUCCCUGCAUCCUUGUGUGUGUGUGUGAGCAUGAGCGUGCCUCCCUGCAUAGCCUGAGUAGGUGUUUUGCGUAAGCUCUGGGUACCGUUUGUGAGUGCGUGGGCCUAGCAUCCCGGUGGCAGGUGAAGGUGCUGGCUGGGGGAGAACAUGUGUGGGCACACACCCUGUUGCCCUGGCUGUGAAAGCAGGGCGUCUGGAGAAAGGUUAAUCAGGUAUGUGACCGCGAGGAGGCAUUUAAGGGGGCAUCUCCGCACCUGGCCCCACGUGGAAACCCAGCAAGACAGGAACCAAGAGCGGGCCCCAGCUGAGGACCUCGGUGGUCUGGGCCAUGUCAGAAAUCUCAACCUGAUUAAAGUUGAAGCUGGGAGAGGCUGGCUCUUUGACAUCUUGAAGGUUCCUCUUCCCUCUUCUCUGUUAAACUCAAAUGGGUCUUUUCUAUCUUUCCGUCACCCCUGGCAGAGGAGCCACCCCCAGUCUCGAAUAGAGGGGAGAAGAUAUGAGGGAUGGAGGACACACCACCAGCUCCCCCUCUCACAGCCAGGGGGAGUGCAGACAAGGUGAUCGAUGGGAUGGUUCCGGGCUCAGAACACUCAGUGGUCCAACCAGGAAACGCCUGGACAUGCUGGAUGGCUGGUUACCCUGGUCUGGUCCUUACUCAUGUGCUGAUAACUAUGGCGUUCCUGCAGAAAUCUGAGACACACGAAGAAUGGACCUGCAGCGCUCAGUCCGAGAACAGCUUCCAGCUCCAACGCUGCUUCUCUGCGGUGCAGAAGCCAGGGUGGCUCCGGGAGCAUUUGGUUUGCACAUGACAGAGCAGAAGGAUGGUGAAGCUUAGCAGAGAUCCCAGAGCAAGCGGGUGACACCGGGGUCGGGCCUCCUGCACCCUCCUGGGAGGGCUCGCAGCUGCCCGGUGCAGCGCAUAGGAAUCUGUUGGUUUCCAGAUCCAGGUGGGAGUGAAGGGAGGAGAUUUCAGCCUCCUUUAAAGCAAUGUUCUCUCCUCCAAGAGGUUUUCUGAGGGUUUCACAGGGGGAAAAAAGUGAGGCUUGGACAAUUCCAUAGGAAAGUCUCAAAACAGGAUGAAAGGUUACUCCAGAGAGCAAACCUCCCCAAGGAAGGGAAAGAAGAGCACCCUUUCUAAGGAAGUGCAAGCUCCAUGGGCAUUUAGAGCUUGAGAGGAAAGUCAGAGCUCACACACCUGAACCAAGAGCCCCAGGCCUCCUCAGCUGCAGCACAUUCUUAACUUACAGUGUUGUGGCCAGGCCUACAAUUGUGACUGUGUACUGGCUCUUGGCAGCUUUCUCCAAGGCAGGCCACUCUCUCUUACCACUUAGGUGCUUCAAGAGUGUUACUUUGAAAGCAUGGGCUAGACACCUCGCCAUCCACCUGGCUGCUGGCAAGGCCUCGCUUUUCCCACUAGCUAAGUGGAGGGAAGAAUAUAGUCCAGGUUCCAGGGAGGGAGCAGCACGGCUAUUGGUACCCCCUCCUUCCUGAGUCGUUCACGGGGCCACAUCAAAGUCCUUGGCCAAGACACAGUUUUGAGACCCCCCCCCCCAGGCCCCCCACGAAGUACCUAUCACUGAGGGAGUAACCAGUGUCCUCUUGGGCCGUAUGUGAUAGGUUGGCGGUUUCCUCAAUGAAGACUUUUAGGAUGAUAAAAUGUAUUCCAGAAUGUUCUUCAAAGUCACCACUAUAAUUAAACAAUGGGCAGCCAUGAUGGAAGUAAAAUGUUUUCUGAAUACCUAUAGAAACAGAUAAAAGGGAAGUCAGAAAUUAAUGAUUAAUGUUAAUAAGUGAGCCUGCAUGAAACGAGUGUCGAGCGUUAGUCGCUCAGUUGUGUCCGACUCUUUGUGACCCUAUGAAUUGUAGGCCACCAGUCUCCUCUGUCCAUGGGAUUCUCCAGGCGAGAACACUGGAGUGAGUUGCCGUGCCCUCUUCAGGGGAUACUCCUGACCCAGGGGUUGAACCCACAUCUCUUGCAUUGGCAGUGGAAUUGGGCCCGACGUUCCACUGAGCCAGCCCUGAUCCUGGAUGUGAACACCUGCUCCAUGCCAGAGGAAAAGAGAAAACCUGAACAUGCUUCAGACAGUUAUGGCAAGCGCCUCUGCAGAUGGAGAGAAUGGAAAAGAGCCUCCUUUUACAGUCCUAGGUGGCGUGUUACCCACACUCACGGAGGUCAACUCUGCGUUAUUCACUGGAAGGACUGAUGCUGAAGCCGAAGCCCCAAUACUUUGGCCACCUGAUGCAAAGAACUGACUCACUGGAAAAGGCCCUGAUGCUGGGAAAGACUGAAGGCAGCAGGAGAAGGGGACAACAGAAGACAAGAUGGAUGGUAUCACCGACUCAAUGGACAUGAGUUUGAGCAAACUCUGGGAGAUCAUAAUGGACAGGGGAGCCUGGCGUGCUGCAGUCCAUGGGGCUACAAAGAGUCAGACAUGGCUGAGCAACUAAACAACAAUACAAGAGAGGAAACAGAGGCAGAGUGGGUGGAUGUUGCCCAGGGUACCUGUCAGAGCUGGGUUUUAAAACCAGAUGUAGCUCCUGCUUUCAAAGGGAAAAGCUGCUGGUCACAAGCAAUCCUGCCCCCACCAGCCUGUGCCCACCCCUGCCUCCUCCAAAGGCACGGAUAGGCUCUUGGACUUUCCUCUGUCAAUUGGUAAGGAGUUUAUUUUCACCAGCUGAGGGGCUCAUCCUCCAGUAGAUAGAUGCCUUUCAGGUUGCAGAAGGAGCAGAGAAUCCUCCCCAGAUGGGUGAUUUCUGGUUGCAAGGCAGGAUUCCUUCUGGUGGGAUAUAAUGACCCGGGGAGAACAGCAUUUUGUAACUGUUUGUGGCCAAGGACUCACCAGUAAGUUAGCCUACUGAAAAAUAAAUACGCCCGGGCUGUUUCAUUGAGCUUUUUCGUGACAUCAGUAGACAGUUGGCAACAAUGCCUUGAACAUUUCUCCAGGCUACCAUUGAUCGUGGCCUUGCUCUGGGCUCUGGAAGCCCAACAUUGCACAAUGUUCCUUUAUAGUGACCCACAGGACAAAUUCCUUUCAGGCCCCAACACCAGCAGGGCAGUGUAGCCUGGUGGUUAGAAGCACAAACUCCAGGUCCCUCUCCUGUCCUCUUGUUGGGGGUGGUGGCAGGAGCCCAUCAGAGCAGGGUUCCUUGCCUGCCUCUGUGGCUUAGCAUGUGAGUCCUUGGGCAAGGUGUAACCUCCAUGAGCUUCAGUUUUCUCACCUGUAAAAUGGGAAUAAAUAACACCCUCCUGAGACGUCUCCUGGGGAAUUCCCUGGUGGGCCGGUAGUUAGGACUCUGCAC